rnacentral:lncRNA from 1 species
UUUCUUGUAUUCUGUUGCUGAUGCUCGCAUCUAUGGUUCCAGAUCUCUUUCCUAGGGUUUCUAUCUCCAGCGUUGCCUCGCUUUGGGUUUUCUUUAUUGUGUCUACUUCCCCUUUUAGUUCUAGUAUGGUUUUGUUCAUUUCCAUCACCGGUUUGGAUGUGUUUUCCUGUUUUUCUUUAAUGAUUUCUACCUGUUUGGCUGUGUUUUCCUGCUUUUCUUUAAGGGCCUGUAACUCUUUAGCAGUGCUCUCCUGUAAUUCUUUAAGUGACUUAUGAAAGUCCUUCUUGAUGUCCUCUAUCAUCAUCAUGAGAAAUGUUUUUAAAUCUGGGUCUAGAUUUUCGGUUGUGUUGGGGUGCCCAGGACUAGGUGGGGUGGGAGUGCUGCGUUCUGAUGAUGGUGAGUGGUCUUGAUUUCUGUUAGUAGGAUUCUUACGUUUGCCUUUCGCCAUCUGGUAAUCUCUGAAGCUAGCUGUUUUAGUUGUCACUGUUAAGAGCUUGUUCUUCAGGUGACUCUGUUAGCCUCUAUAAGGAGACCUGGAGGGUAGCACUCUCCUUAGUUUCAGUGGGCAGAGUAUUCUCUGCAGGCAAGCUCUCUUCUUGCAAGGCAGGUACCCAGAUAUCUGGUGUUUGAACCAGACUCCUGGCAGAAGUUGUGUUCCACUCACUAGAGGUCUUAGGAUCACGUGUGGAAUCCUGUGUGGGCCCUUGCGGGUGUCAGGCGACUCAGCUGGCAAGGUAGCCCGGGGCUCGAGUCUCGAGUCGAGCGGAAGGGACUUGUGCCCCAGAUCAGGCCCGGGUAGCCUGCUUCCCUAUGUACCGCAGUCUCAGGUUCCACGCGAUUGGAUUGGGGCAGGCGCUGUGUUCCACUCACCAGAGGUCUUAGGGUCCCGUGGGGAGUCCCGUGUGGGCCCUUGCGGGUGUUGGGCAAGACUCUGCUGGCAAGGUAGCCCGGGGCUCGAGUCGAGCAGAAGGGACUUGUGCCUCAUUUUUUUUUUUAAACUAAAAAAUUUUAAGUUUGGACUGGGGGAUAUAGGGCAUAGAAUAGAUAUCUAGUAUGGAUGAAGCUUUGGUUCGACUCCUUACACCAGACAAUCAAUCAAUCAACCAAUCAGUAUUAAAAGAUAAGCAGCCAUUGCUGAAGCAAGGCUUUGCAGGAGAUUGAGGCUAAUGUAGAGAUCUCUCCCUCUCUCUAACCUCUGUCCUCCCACCAUUGACUGCAUCUGGGAGUCAAGAGCAAAGGAAUACAGAGCCAGUCUCCAUCAAAGUGGCAUAGAGAAGUAGGGGAUGAUCUGACAGAGAGCUUCUGAGGUUUUGAAUUAUUUGUUCCUGUGCUGAAUAUUUGGACCCAGACCUUCGGGAGCGUUCAGUAGUGUGCUCUACAGCUGAGCCAGGAGUCUAACCCUGCAGCAUCUGAGUAUCCAUGAGCAAGCUCCCACUGUUUGUGGCUGAAGAUUUCAAGUGCACAGAGCCAUUAUGCUGACUGGGCAUCCUCUGUACUGUUUGUGAAGUCGAUAGUAAAAUCCUGUUUCAAUUU